rnacentral:rRNA from 1 species
CCUACGGGUGGCAGCAGUGAGGAAUAUUGGUCAAUGGACGAGAGUCUGAACCAGCCAAGUAGCGUGAAGGAUGACUGCCCUAUGGGUUGUAAACUUAUUUUAUAUGGGAAUAAAAUGUUCCACGUGUGGGAUUUUGUAUGUACCAUAUGAAUAAGGAUCGGCUAACUCCGUGCCAGCAGCCGCGGUAAUACGGAGGAUCCGAGCGUUAUCCGGAUUUAUUGGGUUUAAAGGGAGCGUAGGUGGAUUGUUAAGUCAGUUGUGAAAGUUUGCGGCUCAACCGUAAAAUUGCAGUUGAAACUGGCAGUCUUGAGUACAGUAGAGGUGGGCGGAAUUCGUGGUGUAGCGGUGAAAUGCUUAGAUAUCACGAAGAACUCCGAUUGCGAAGGCAGUUCACUGGACUGCAACUGACACUGAGGCUCGAAAGUGUGGGUAUCAAACAGGAUUAGAUACCCGAGUAGUC